GUGCUUUUGUUUCCUGUUUCAUUGAUGUUUUGAACCAUCAAUAACCGAGAUGGGAUUUCCGGUUGGUUUAGGGUCACGUGAAUUAUGCCUCAAUAUGUAGAGUAUUCAAAUAAAUCAUGACUUGAAGGUAUGCCGCCUUUUCCUUUUUUGUUUUUGUUUUCAUUCACUGGCUUCUAAACCUGCUCAUUCUGGUCUUGCUUCAGCUGCUUUACAUCCAUUUGUCCUUUCACCCUUUUUCUUGAGCAUACAAAGUUAGGUAUCUACUGCGGUUUUCGCUACCUUUCAUUGAGUACAUGUUACACUUUGUUGGUUUUCAAGUAUGUGUAUUGUCAUUAAAAUAGGAACACCGUGUCUUCUACAUAUAUUUUUUCAUCUAACAGGUAUACAUUUGUCAUUACAAAUUUAUCAAGAAAGGUAUUAUUGCACUCAUCCUGGAGACCAAGAUACAAAAUGUCAAGCAGCAAGCUUAUCAUUUGUGUAAGCUAGCACUUACGGAAAAGGUAUCUGUGGCUAAAUGUCCACCUGGAAAAGGAAUUACAGAGACUGAAACAGGAGCCCUUAGAAAGGGGGAAAAGAGGUCUGCGGCAUGGCUCUGCAAAGAGACAUACAUGGAAACCCAGGAAAGCAUGUAAAUAAAGAGUUGACACACAAAUAAUAUUUUUAAUUAUGCCAUAUAUUGAGGAAUACAGGCACAUGUUUCCAGUACUGAAACUCACUGUUGAUUUUAUGAUAUAUCGAAUUUGUUGUUAGCGAAGAUGGUUACUUUGGUACAUGAUCUCAUAACACCUUAAGGCAUUUAUAAAUGUAUUAUAGUAUCUAUUUGUAACACAAAACUAUUUCUUGCGGU